GACGAAAGAGGGAGGCGUGCUUAACACAUGCCAGUCGAACGGAAAGGCCCUGCUUUUGUGGGGUGCUCGAGUGGCGAACGGGUGAGUAACACGUGAGUAACCUGCCCUUGACUUUGGGAUAACUUCAGGAAACUGGGGCUAAUACCGGAUAGGAGCUCCUGCUGCAUGGUGGGGGUUGGAAAGUUUCGGCGGUUGGGGAUGGACUCGCGGCUUAUCAGCUUGUUGGUGGGGUAGUGGCUUACCAAGGCUUUGACGGGUAGCCGGCCUGAGAGGGUGACCGGCCACAUUGGGACUGAGAUACGGCCCAGACUCCUACGGGAGGCAGCAGUGGGGAAUAUUGCACAAUGGGCGGAAGCCUGAUGCAGCAACGCCGCGUGCGGGAUGACGGCCUUCGGGUUGUAAACCGCUUUCGCCUGUGACGAAGCGUGAGUGACGGUAAUGGGUAAAGAAGCACCGGCUAACUACGUG
rnacentral:rRNA from 1 species